rnacentral:piRNA from 1 species
UCCUGUGCCAUGAAGGAUUUGCUGA